UACGUAGGUGGCAAGCGUUAUCCGGAUUUACUGGGUGUAAAGGGCGUGUAGGCGGGAGUGCAAGUCAGAUGUGAAAACUAUGGGCUCAACCCAUAGCCUGCAUUUGAAACUGUACUUCUUGAGUGCUGGAGAGGCAAUCGGAAUUCCGUGUGUAGCGGUGAAAUGCGUAGAUAUACGGAGGAACACCAGUGGCGAAGGUGGAUUGCUGGACAGUAACUGACGCUGAGGCGCGAAAGCGUGGGGAGCAAACAGG
rnacentral:rRNA from 1 species